CAUUGCAGCUAUUCCACCUCCAACUGUGGUCUUGUCAGCUUUCAUAAGCGCAAUAGGGUUGUGCCUGAUUAGUACUUAGAGGGAAGACCUCCAAGGAAAACUAAGUGCUGGAAGGA
ensembl:rRNA 5S_rRNA 5S ribosomal RNA